CUUUCAACAACGGAUCUCUUGGUUCCAGCAUCGAUGAAGAACGCAGCGAAAUGCGAUAAGUAAUGUGAAUUGCAGAAUUCAGUGAAUCAUCGAAUCUUUGAACGCACAUUGCGCCCCUCGGUAUUCCGGGGGGCAUGCCUGUUCGAGCGUCAUUACA
rnacentral:rRNA from 12 species